AAAGAAUACUCAUCUAUCCAUAAAUAUUCUUGUUAUCCUAAUUUCUAAAUCACAAACCCAAAUCUACAUAAUUUCUCAAGAAAAUGAAAACUUUCCAAAAAUAGCAGUUUUUAUUAAAAUUAUUUAAAAAUACAACCUAUUGAUGAAAAACUCUGAAAUAAUACUCAUCUAUCCACAAAUAUUUUUGUUGACCUAAUUUCUAAAUCACAACCCAAAUCUACAGUAUUUCUCAAAAAAAUGAAAACUUUCCAAAAAUAGCAGCUUUUAAGAAAAUUAUUUAAAAAUACAAUAUAUUGAUGAAAAAUUCUGAAAUAGUACUCAUAUAUCCACAAAUAUUCUUGUUAUCCUAAUUUAUAAAUCACAAACUCAAAUCUACAGUAUUUCUCAAAAAAAUGGACACUUUCCAAAAAUAUCAGUUUUUAUUAAAAUUAUUUAAAAAUACAACCUAUUGAUGAAAAACUCUGAAAGAAUAUUCAUCUAUCCACUAAUAUUCUUGUUAUCCAAAUUUCUAAAUCACAAACUCAAAUCUACAGUAUUUCUCAAAAAAAAUUAAAAACUUCCAAAAAUAGCAGUUUUUAAGAAAAUAAUUUAAAAAUACAAUAUAUUGAUGAAAAAAUCUGAAAUAAUACUCAUAUAUCCACAAAUAUUUUUGUUAUCCUAAUUUCUAAAUCACAAACCCAAAUCUACAAUAUUUCUCAAAAAAUGAAAAUUUUCCAAAAAUAGCAGAUUUUUUGAAUAUUAUUUAAAAAUACAACCUAUUGAUGAAAAAAUUUGAAAGAAUACUCAUCUAUCCACUUAUAUUCUUGUUAUUCUAAUUUAUAAAUCACAAACUCAAAUCUUUAAAAAUUCUCAAAAAAAUGAAAACUUUCAAAAAAUAACAGCUUUUAAGAAAAUUAUUGUAAAAUACAAUAUAUUGAUGAAAAAUUCUGAAAGAAUACUCAUCUAUCCACAAAUAUUCUUGUUCUAAUUUCUAAAUCACAAAGACAAAUCUACAAUAUUUCUCAAAAAAAAAUGAAAACUUACCAAAAAUAGCAGUUUUUAUGAAAAAUAUUUAAAAAUACAACCUACUGAUGAAAAACUCUGAAAGAAUACUCAUCUAUCCAGUAAUAUUCUUGUAAUCCUAAUUUCUAAAUCACAAACUCAACUCUAUAAAAGUUCUCAAAAAUCGAAUUUUUUUCAAAAAUAGCAGCUUUUAAGAAAAUUAUUAAAGAUACAAUAUAUUGAUAAAAAAUUCUGAAAGAUUACUUAUCUAUCCACAAAUAUAUAUUUUCUCCUAAUUUAUAAAUCACAAAUCCAAAUCUACAGUAUUUCUCAAAAAAUGAAAAUUUUCCAAAAAUAUCAGUUUUUAUGAAAAUUAUUUAAAAAUACAACCUAUGGAUGGAAAACUCUGAAAGAAUACUCAUCUAUCCACUCAUAUUCUUGUUAUCCUAAUUUAUAAAUAACAAACCCAAAUCUAUAAAAAUCUAUAAAAAAUUCUCAAGAAAAUGAAAACUUUCCAAAAAUAACAGCUUUUAAGAAAAUUAUUUUAAAAUAGAAUAUAUGUAUGAAAAAUUCUGAAAGAAUACUCAUAUAUUCACAAAUAUUCUUGUUAUCCUAAUUUCUAAAUCACAAACCCCAAAUGUACAGUAUUUCUCAUAAAAUUGAAAACUUUCCAAAAAUAGCAGUUUUAAAGAAAAAUAUUUAAAAAUACUAUAUAUUGAUGAAAAAUUCUGAAAGAAUAUUCAUCUAUCCACAAAUAUUGUAGUUAUCCUAAUUUCUAAAUCACAAACCCAAAUCUACAGUAUUUCUCAAGAAAAUGAAAACUUUCUAAAAAAAGCAGUUUUAUUAAAAUUAUUUAAAAAUACAACCUAUUGAUGAAAAACUCUGAAAAAAUACUCAUCUAUCCAGUAAUAUUCUUGUUAUCCAAAUUUCUAAAUCACAAAAUCAAAUCUACAGUAUUUCUCAAAAAAAUGAAAAACUUCCAAAAAUAGCAGCUUUUAAGAUAAUUAUUUUAAAAUACAAUAUAUUGAUGAAAAAUUAUGAAAUAAUACUCAUAUAUCCACAAAUAUUCUUGUUAUCCUAAUUUCUAAAUCACAAACCCAAAUCUACAGUAUUUCUCAAAAAAAGGAAAACUUUCCAAAAAUAGCAGCUUUUAAGAAAAUUAUUUAACAAUACUAUAUAUUGAUGAAAAAUUCUGAAAGAAUACUCAUCUAUCCAAAAAUAUUCUUGUUAUCCUAAUUUCUAAAUCACAAACUUAAAUCUACAGUAUUUUUCAAGAAAAUGAAAACUUUCCAAAAAUAGCAGUUUUAUUAUAAUUAUUUAAAAAUACAACCUAUUGAAAAACUCUGAAAGAAUACUUAUCUAUCCCCUAAUAUUCUUGUUAUCCUAAUUUUAAAUCACAAAAACUCAAAUCUAUAAAAUUUCUCAAAAAAUGAAAACUUUCCAAAAAUAGCAGCUUUUAAGAAAAUUAUUAAAGAUACAAUAUAUUGAUAAAAAAAUCUGAAAGAAUACUCAUCUAUCCACUAAUAUUCUUGUUAUCCAAAUUUCUAAAUCAGAAACCUAAAUCUAAAAAAGUUCUCAAAAAAAUGAAAACUUCCAAAAAUAGCCUCUUUUAAGAAAAUUAUUUGAAAAUACAAUAUAUUGAUGAAAAAUUAUGAAAGAAUACUCAUAUAUCAAUAAAUAUUCUUGUUAUCCUAAUUUAUAAAUCACAAACUCAAAUCUACAAUAUUUCUCAAAAAAUGAAAACUUUACAAAAUAGUAGUUUUUAUGAAAAUUAUUUAAAAUACAACAUAUUGAUGAAAAACUCUGAAACAAUACUCAUCUAUC
rnacentral:lncRNA from 1 species